AGGAAAAGAAACUAACAAGGAUUCCCCUAGUAACUGCGAGUGAAGCGGGAAAAGCUCAAAUUUAAAAUCUGAUAGUCUCUGGCUGUCCGAGUUGUAAUCUAGAGAAGUGUUAUCCGCGCUGGACCGUGUAUAAGUCUCCUGGAAUGGAGCGUCAUAGAGGGUGAGAAUCCCGUCUUUGACACGGACUACCAGGGCUUUGUGAUGCGCUCUCAAAGAGUCGAGUUGUUUGGGAAUGCAGCUCUAAAUGGGUGGUAAAUUCCAUCUAAAGCUAAAUAUUGGCGAGAGACCGAUAGCGAACAAGUACCGUGAGGGAAAGAUGAAAAGAACUUUGGAAAGAGAGUUAAACAGUACGUGAAAUUGUUGAAAGGGAAACGCUUGAAGUCAGUCGCGUUGGUCGGGGAUCAACCUUGCUUUUGCUUGGUGUACUUCCUGAUUAACGGGUCAGCAUCAAUUUUGACCAGUGGAAAAAGUUCGAGGGAAUGUGGCAUCUCCGGAUGUGUUAUAGCCCUUGUUCGUAUACAUUGGUUGGGAUUGAGGAACUCAGCACGCCGCAAGGCCGGGUUUUACCACGUUCGUGCUUAGGAUGCUGGCAUAAUGGCUUUAAUCGACCCGUCUU
rnacentral:rRNA from 1 species